UACGUAGGGUGCGAGCGUUAAUCGGAAUUACUGGGCGUAAAGAGUGCGUAGGCGGUUCUUUGGGUCCGCUGUGAAAGCCCCGGGCUUAACCUGGGAAUGGCAGUGGAAACUAGAGAACUUGAAUCUGGCAGAGGGGGGUGGAAUGCCACGUGUAGCAGUGAAAUGCGUAGAUAUGUGGCGGAACACCGAUGGCGAAGGCAGCCCCCUGGGCUGAGAUUGACGCUCAGGCACGAAAGCGUGGGGAGCAAACAGG
rnacentral:rRNA from 1 species